GCACGGGUGAGUAACACGUGACUAACCUACCCUGGAGUGGGGAAUAACUGAGGGAAACCUUAGCUAAUACCGCAUAAUACCUACGGGUCAAAGGAGCAAUUCGCUUCAGGAGGGGGUCGCGGCGAUUAGUUAGUUGGCGGGGUAAUGGCCCACCAAGACAGUGAUCGGUAUCCGGCCUGAGAGGGCGCACGGACACACUGGAACUGAAACACGGUCCAGACUCCUACGGGAGGCAGCAGUGGGGAAUUUUGCGCAAUGGGGGAAACCCUGACGCAGCAACGCCGCGUGGAGGAUGAAAUCCCUUGGGAUGUAAACUCCUUUCGAUCGGGACGAUUAUGACGGUACCGGAAGAAGAAGCCCCGGCUAACUUCGUGCCAGCAGCCGCGGUAAUACGAGGGGGGCAAGCGUUGUUCGGAAUUAUUGGGCGUAAAGGGAGUGUAGGCGGUUUGGUAAGUUGUGUGUGAAAUCUUCGGGCUCAACCCGAAGUCUGCACACAAAACUGCCGGGCUUGAGGGUGGGAGAGGUGAGUGGAAUUUCCGGUGUAGCGGUGAAAUGCGUAGAUAUCGGAAGGAACACCUGUG
rnacentral:rRNA from 1 species